CUUACUCUGAUUUAUUUCCUUCCUAUCAAUUGUCACCUACCUGAUAUUAUAUUAGACAUUCGCUUGUUUGUCUCUGAAGCCCCUUGAACUAGAAGAGUGUGUGAUACAUAGUAAGUGCUUAGAAUUUUUGAAAUGAGUGACUGAAUUCCUUGAAUGGUCUCCCCAGUGAGGGCGCCUGAGAAGCAAGAAGAGCCAGCCUCCCCUACUGCAGGCACUUGAACCUGGGCUCGUAUGGGGAGUUGCUUGUGCGCCAGGAUCCCUGACCUCUGCAGCUGUGCUUGUUAAUCCCCCAGAGACUGCACUUGAGAACUGUGUGUUCAUUUCUGUCGUUGGCAUUUGUGACCCAGCUCCUCACCAAGCCUUGCAAUGUGAAGACGUGAAGUGGCUGUUGGAAAUCCUCUCCUCCCAGUAGCAUUGCCAUAAAAGCUCGGGAGCAAACGUUCAUCUGAGCAUCAGACAGGAAAGACGGAAUUGCCUUCAGAUUGCUGAUAUCUGCAGGCAGGUGGGCAGACGCUGCCAGCAAAAAUCAGACAUGGUAUUGUGCAAAAGGAAUGCUAAAAAUGGGGUGUGGCAUCAAGUUACCACCCAUGCUGUUGGUAUUUAGCUACCUCCCAAUAGUUGAGAGGGGGCUGUCACGCCCUUGUGACCUCCUGAGCUGUCUCUGCCUGGGUAUCUACUGGGCAUUCCGUAUGGAAGGAUGUUUCCUCUCUAUGGAGUCCUCUUGCUGUUUGCUGACUUUGGGAUCUAACAAUGUCGUUGCAUUUUUCCUACCACAUUACCUUCUCAACCAGAAGAUUCAAGUCCAAAGAGAUCUUUUCCUUAGGCCAUCUCAGAUGUAGUUUUGAAACCCACAUAUUUGAAAUUGGUUUUGAACAUUUUAUUACACGUACAAAAUGUUUCUCAGUUGUUAGGGAGGUCAACAUUACUUCCCUGUGUAAGUCCCCUGAACGAGAAGAAUAAGAUUCCCAAACUUCUCCACAUGUAGAAGGCUUAGUUUUAGUCUGAGGAUACAGACAUCAGGUACUCACAUCAGGUGUGAGAUGCUCCCUUCUGCCACCCCACUCACAGCCAUACCUGCCUCCCGCUGACACCUGACUGACACCUGACUGUGGGUUCAUUCUUUCAUGGUCAAACGUGCCAAGCACAAAACUGAGUGCUGCAGAAACAAAGCUCUUCCAUGCCACGAGGAACCCCAAGACAGC
rnacentral:lncRNA from 1 species